UGGUAGUGUAUUGGACAACCAUGGCAGUUACGGGUAACGGAGAAUUAGGGUUCGGUUCCGGAGAGGGAGCCUGAGAAACGGCUACCACAUCUAAGGAAGGCAGCAGGCGCGUAAAUUACCCAAUCCUGAUUCAGGGAGGUAGUGACAAGAAAUAACAACCUGGGGGACCUUCGGUCCUUACGGGAUUGCAAUGAGAACAAUUUAAAAGACUUAACGAGGAACAAUUGGAGGGCAAGUCUGGUGCCAGCAGCCGCGGUAAUUCCAGCUCCAAUAGCGUAUAUUAAAGUUGUUGCAGUUAAAAAGCUCGUAGUUGAACUUCUGCGUACCUUCAGUUCUGGCUCCGGUCAAGCUGAUGCGUGCGCAUCCGCUUGCAAACCCGGACCGGCCUUCACUGGUCGACCGGGGGAGUAAGCCCUUUACUUUGAAAAAAUUAGAGUGUUUCAGGCAGGCAAUGGCUCGAAUACAUUAGCAUGGAAUAAUGGAAUAGGACUUUUGUCCAUUUGGUUGGUUAUUGGACAUGAGUAAUGAUUAAAAGGGACAGUUGGGGGCAUUAGUAUUUAAUUGUCAGAGGUGAAAUUCUUGGAUUUAUUAAAGACUAACUUAUGCGAAA
rnacentral:rRNA from 1 species